GUGGGGAAUAUUGGACAAUGGGGGGAACCCUGAUCCAGCCAUGCCGCGUGUGUGAAGAAGGCCUUAUGGUUGUAAAGCACUUUAAGCGAGGAGGAGGCUUACCUAGCUAAUAUCUAGGCUAAGUGGACGUUACUCGCAGAAUAAGCACCGGCUAACUCUGUGCCAGCAGCCGCGGUAAUACAGAGGGUGCAAGCGUUAAUCGGAUUUACUGGGCGUAAAGCGCGCGUAGGCGGCCAAUUAAGUCAAAUGUGAAAUCCCCGAGCUUAACUUGGGAAUUGCAUUCGAUACUGAUUGGCUAGAGUGUGGGAGAGGAUGGUAGAAUUCCAGGUGUAGCGGUGAAAUGCGUAGAGAUCUGGAGGAAUACCGAUGGCGAAGGCAGCCAUCUGGCCUAACACUGACGCUGAGGUGCGAAAGCAUGGGGAGCAAACAGG
rnacentral:rRNA from 1 species